rnacentral:rRNA from 1 species
CAGUAGCCACGGUAAUACGAAGGGUGCAAGCGUUAAUCGGAAUUACUGGGCGUAAAGCGUGCGUAGGCGGUUUGUUAAGUCUGCUGUGAAAUCCCCGGGCUCAACCUGGGAAUGGCAGUGGAUACUGGCAAGCUAGAGUGUGUCAGAGGAUGGUGGAAUUCCCGGUGUAGCGGUGAAAUGCGUAGAGAUCGGGAGGAACAUCAGUGGCGAAGGCGGCCAUCUGGGACAACACUGACGCUGAGGCACGAAAGCGUGGGGAGCAAACAGGAUUAGAUACCCGAGUAGUCCCUGUCCUUAUACA